UACUAAAUUAGUUUAUUUUAAAAUACUAGCUUGUCGAGGUAGGGAAGGUCCUUAUUAACCAUUUAGUAU
rnacentral:tRNA from 1 species